CAGCAUUAAUUUUACAACUUUGCAAAAGACAUUGAAAACAUUUUCGCGUGAACGUUCACUCCUUCACGGUGACGUCAUUUAACGUUGUUUUAUAACACAAAGAUCAAAAACAUCAAGUAAGGACAAAAACAGUCCGGAGACAAACAAAUUUGACUACAUAUAUCAUUUAUAUAUAAGAAAAUAUGUUAAAUUUAUGUAUGGACACAUAUGUCCUUCCCGUGGCGUGCAGACAAUGGAG
rnacentral:lncRNA from 1 species